rnacentral:rRNA from 1 species
GACGAACGCUGGCGGCGUGCUUAACACAUGCAAGUCGAGCGGUAAGGCCCUUUCGGGGGUACACGAGCGGCGAACGGGUGAGUAACACGUGGGUGACCUGCCCUCAGCUCUGGGAUAAGCCUGGGAAACUGGGUCUAAUACUGGAUAUGACUCCACGGUGCAUGUCGUGGGGUGGAAAGCCUUGUGCGGCUGAGGAUGGGCCCGCGGCCUAUCAGCUUGUUGGUGGGGUGANGGCCUACCAAGGCGACGACGGGUAGCCGGCCUGAGAGGGCGACCGGCCACACUGGGACUGAGACACGGCCCAGACUCCUACGGGGGCAGCAGUGGGGAAUCUUGCGCAAUGGGCGAAAGCCUGACGCAGCGACGCCGCGUGA